rnacentral:sRNA from 1 species
AAAGCCCUGGAUACCGCGGAAUAUUGGAGAAAGGGAGAAGCGAGGGCAAUUUUCACCACCUUUCAUAUCCCAAGUUCCGAGUAAUAUGACGCUGGGGAUAUAUACCCUCUGACCCAGGUUGCUAGUGGUAGGCCAGCAACGGAAUGGAGGGCUCGACGGCGUAAGAAAUUCAAAAAAUAUAGAUUGUGCAGAUACGGCCACGUGUGCCCAGGCAUGCAAAAAGUUGCAAUUUUUAACAUGAACUUGUGAAGGGCGGAAAAUAGAAUAAACCCCCAAGGCUUAGCUCUAAGAGUAAUUCGAGAUCCCGAGGGUGGCGUCAAAAGUGAUAAAAAAUUAGAAAUCUUGAUAGUUGGUUGGCUCUUUCUCGGAGCAUCAGGCAGGCUCGAAGAUUGAUGCAGAACUGUGCUUGACGUGAAGGAGCAGUGAGCAACUGGCUAAUGUACUGGACGGUGACUUUGGGGCAGAGGGAAACUGGACGAUUAUGAUAACGAAUCUUGGGACUUGAUCGGAGGGUUUACCCUUGGUGUGGGUUUUGCGGUGAAAUCUAAGGUGAAGAAGGUUUUGGGACGAAAAGGAGAAGGAAAAAAAACUAAAAACAGGUCACUCUACCAACAAAAUGUAUGGCGAGUGACUUUGUUGCUUCAAUACGGUUUUUGGG